UACGUAGGCAGCAAGCGUUGUUCGGAGUUACUGGGCGUAAAGGGUGCGUAGGCGGUUGUUUAAGUUUGGUGUGAAAUCUCCCGGCUCAACUGGGAGGGUGCGCCGAAUACUGAAUGACUAGAGUGCGGGAGAGGAGAGUGGAAUUCCUGGUGUAGCGGUGAAAUGCGUAGAUAUCAGGGGGAACACCGGUGGUGUAGACGGCUCUCUGGACCGUAACUGACGCUGAGGCACGAAAGCGUGGGUAGCAAACAGG
rnacentral:rRNA from 1 species